GCAUUCGUGGUUUAGAGGUAUAAUUGCCCCCUGCCACGGGGUAGACCCGGGUUCGAUUCCCGGCGAAUGCA
rnacentral:tRNA from 1 species